rnacentral:rRNA from 1 species
AGGAGGCAGCAGUGGGGAAUCUUGGACAAUGGGCGCAAGCCUGAUCCAGCAAUGCCGCGUGGGUGAAGACGGCCUGCGGGUUGUAAAGCCCUUUUGGCGGGGACGAAGGCCCUGGGGUGAACAGGCUCAGGGGGUGACGGUACCCGCGGAAGAAGCACCGGCCAACUCCGUGCCAGCAGCCGCGGUAAGACGGAGGGUGCGAGCGUUAAUCGGAAUUACUGGGCGUAAAGCGCACGUAGGCGGUGGUGUCAGUCCGUUGUGAAAGCCCCGGGCUCAACCUGGGAAUUGCGAUGGAGACUGCAAGGCUUGAAUCUGGCAGAGGGGGGUAGAAUUCCACGUGUAGCAGUGAAAUGCGUAGAGAUGUGGAGGAACACCGAUGGCGAAGGCAGCCCCCUGGGUCAAGAUUGACGCUCAUGCACGAAAGCGUGGGGAGCAAACAGGCUUAGAUACCCUGGUAGA